rnacentral:tRNA from 1 species
UCCCUGGUAGCUCAGACAGUAAAGUGUCUGCCUGCAAUGCAGGAGACCCAGGUUUGAUCCCUGGGUUGGGAA